GUUCCCUUUUAAGGCUGACCCAGUGCUUUAAGAGGCUGAUACAGAAGGGUAAAGUUAAGUCUCCACAAAACCCAGGGAAGAGACUGUGAAACUCCUCUUGGAACCUUGUAUGGAGUCAUAGCU
ensembl:snoRNA